rnacentral:rRNA from 1 species
GAUGAACGCUGGCGGCGUGCCUAAUACAUGCAAGUCGAGCGAACGGACGAGAAGCUUGCUUCUCUGAUGUUAGCGGCGGACGGGUGAGUAACACGUGGAUAACCUACCUAUAAGACUGGGAUAACUUCGGGGAACCGGAGCUAAUACCGGAUAAUAUUUUGAACCGCAUGGUUCAAAAGUGAAAGACGGUCUUGCUGUCACUUAUAGAUGGAUCCGCGCUGCAUUAGCUAGUUGGUAAGGUAACGGCUUACCAAGGCAACGAUGCAUAGCCGACCUGAGAGGGUGAUCGGCCACACUGGAACUGAGACACGGUCCAGACUCCUACGGGAGGCAGCAGUAGGGAAUCUUCCGCAAUGGGCGAAAGCCUGACGGAGCAACGCCGCGUGAGUGAUGAAGGUCUUCGGAUCGUAAAACUCUGUUAUUAGGGAAGAACAUAUGUGUAAGUAACUGUGCACAUCUUGACGGUACCUACUCAGAAAGCCACGGCUAACUACGUG